AAGAGAUCGGGAUAACACCUGGAAACAGAUGCUAAUACCGGAUAACAACAGAUGAUGCCUAUCAACUGUUUAAAAGAUGGUUCUGCUAUCACUCUUGGAUGGACCUGCGGUGCAUUAGCUAGUUGGUAGGGUAACGGCCUACCAAGGCGAUGAUGCAUAGCCGAGUUGAGAGGCUGAUCGGCCACAUUGGGACUGAGACACGGCCCAAACUCCUACGGGAGGCAGCAGAA
rnacentral:rRNA from 1 species